CAAAUCCGCCUGUCAUAUACCGAGGCUGCCGAUCGAGCGAGCUUGCUCGCGAAGUGACUGAACGGGGUCCCAGGAAAAGCCACUAAGCUUCAGCUGCACACGACCGUACCGCAAACCGACACUGGUGCGCGAGAUGAGUAUUCUAAGGCGCUUGAGAGAACUCUGGAGAAGGAACUCGGCAAAAUUGACACCGUAACUUCGGGAGAAGGUGUGCCCCGGUAGUGUGAUGAGAACAUCUGAGCAUGAAAGGGUUGCAAUAAAUAGGUGGCUGCGACUGUUUAUCAAAAACACAGCACUCUGCAAACACGAAAGUGGACGUAUAGGGUGUGACGCCUGCCCGGUGCUGGAAGAUUAAGUGAUGGGGUGCAAGCUCUUGAUCGAAGUCCCAGUAAACGGCGGCCGUAACAAUAACGGUCCUAAGGUAGCGAAAUUCCUUGUCGGGUAAGUUCCGACCUGCACGAAUGGCGUAACGAUGGCCAC
rnacentral:rRNA from 1 species